CUCAAUUUUUAUUCCUCUCCCAUUCUUUAUCUCUUUGAAGAAACUCACUCAUGGAGUCAUGGUAUCUUCUUAUUCUUUACCCUUCAUCUCUAUCUCUCUCUUCCUCACAUUUUCUCCUCUAAAUUGGCUCCGUAUGUUAAUUUACAACCGGAUGUGAAAGAACAUGUCGUAGCAGCUGCAGGAGCAACAACACCAUACAAAAGACUCGCGAAUCGAGAAUCGGUCUUGAUGCUUGCUUGACUUAUCUAUAGAUGAACCUGUUGUGACUUCCUGCAAGUAUUCGUAGAAGGGAGUUAAUUUCAACAGAAACGGCGAAUUUGUUUUGGAAAGGCACCCAAAGAUCAAAGUGGAAGUGGUGAAUGGUAGAAGCUUAGCUAUUGCAGUAGUGCUUAAUGGUAUCCCACUGAGAAUGUCUCAUAUUCUGUUUAGGGGUUACUACAGUAUAAAAGGUUGAAUGUUCUUCUGGACAUCUUUGCAACCUUUUGGCUAAUGUUUGGAAGUUUUUGGUGUUGAAGCAAGGAAAAUGGCGUUGACGAAAAGCUUGAGUUUUCUCUAGGAAGGAAGAGGAUAUUAAUUUAUAAAAAUAGCUAUGAUUUGAAGCAAUUUUGUGCUGAUUUUCAGCCGUCUUCACUUGAACAAAACUGGAAUUGAGUGAACAAAAACUGGAAUUGAGUGAUUUUCAGCCGUAUUCACUGGAAUUGGAACAAAAAGUGGAAUUGAGUGAGGAUAUGCAAGACUUUCUGGAACCAUACUGGAACAAAAACUUCUAAAAAUUCUGAAAUUCCUACUUCCU